UACGUAGGGUGCGAGCGUUAAUCGGAAUACUGGGCGUAAAGCGUGCGCAGGCGGUGAGUUAAGUCUGAUGUGAAAGCCCCGGGCUCAACCUGGGAAUGGCAUUGGAAACUGGCUCGCUGGAGUGUGGCAGAGGGGGGGUGGAAUUCCGCGUGUAGCAGUGAAAUGCGUAGAGAUGCGGAGGAACACCGAUGGCGAAGGCAGCCCCCUGGGCCAACACUGACGCUCAGGCACGAAAGCGUGGGGAGCAAACAGG
rnacentral:rRNA from 1 species